rnacentral:rRNA from 1 species
GUGUCAGCCGCCGCGGUAAAACGUAGGAGGCGAGCGUUAUCCGGAUUCAUUGGGCGUAAAGGGCAAGUAGGCGGUGGCGAAAGUUGGGCGUGACAUCUCUCGGCUUAACUGAGAGGGGUCGUCCAAAACUACGCGACUAGAGGGCAGGAGAGGGAAGUGGAAUUCCUCGUGUAGCGGUGGAAUGCUCAGAUAUGAGGAGGAACACCAGUGGCGAAAGCGACUUCCUGGCCUGUACCUGACGCUGAGAGGCGAAAGCUAGGGGAGCGAACGGGCUUAGAUACCCCGGUAGUCCUAGCUGUAAACGUUGGAUACUGGGUAUGGGGGGUUUAAAUACCUUCUGUGCCGAAGCAAACGCGUUAAGUAUCCCGCCUGGGGACUACGGCCGCAAGGUUAAA